UACGUAGGGUGCGAGCGUUAAUCGGAAUUACUGGGCGUAAAGCGUGUGCAGGCGGUCUGUUAAGACAGGUGUGAAAUCCCCGGGCUUAACCUGGGAAUUGCGCUUGUUACUGGCAGACUAGAGUGCGUCAGAGGGAGGUGGAAUUCCACGUGUAGCAGUGAAAUGCGUAGAGAUGUGGAGGAACACCGAUGGCGAAGGCGGCCUCCUGGGAUGACACUGACGCUCAUACCCGAAAGCGUGGGGAGCAAACAGG
rnacentral:rRNA from 1 species